rnacentral:rRNA from 1 species
GACGUAGGAGGCAAGCGUUGUCCGGAAUUACUGGGCGUAAAGCGCGUGUAGGUGGUGGGACAAGUCUGCUGUGAAAGCGCCUGGCUUAACCGGGCGAGGUCGGCGGAAACUGUUCGACUCGAGGACGGUAGAGGGGGGUGGAAUUCCCGGUGUAGUGGUGAAAUGCGUAGAGAUCGGGAGGAACACCUGUGGCGAAGGCGGCCCCCUGGGCCGGCCCUGACACUGAGACGCGAAGGCGUGGGGAGCGAACGGG